UUGCUCGCUUCGGCAGCACAGACACUAAAACUGGAACAAUAGAGAUUAGCACGGCCCCUGCACAAGGAUGACAUGCAAAUUCAUGAAGCGUUCCAUAUUUAA
rnacentral:snRNA from 1 species